rnacentral:rRNA from 1 species
AUUGAACGCUGGCGGCAGGCUUAACACAUGCAAGUCGAACGAGCGGCGGACGGGUGAGUAAUGUCUGGGAAACUGCCUGAUGGAGGGGGAUAACUACUGGAAACGGUAGCUAAUACCGCAUAACAUCAGAUGUGCCCAGAUGGGCUUAGCUGGUAGGUGGGGUAACGGCUCACCAAGGCGACGAUCCCUAGAUGGUCUGAGCGGAUGACCAGCCACACGUGAACUGAGACACGGUCCAGACUCCUGCGGGAGGCAGCAGUGGGGAAUAUUGCACAAUGGGCGCAAGCCUGAGGCAGCCAUGCAGCGUGUGUGAAGAAGGCCUUCGGGUUGUAAAGUACUUUCAGCGGGGAGGCGUUACUCGCAGAAGAAGCACCGGCUAACGCCGUGCCAGCAGCCGCGGUAAUUC